rnacentral:misc_RNA from 1 species
UUUCCGUAGGUGAACCUGCGGAAGGAUCAUUAUUGGAUUUUGAAGCUUCAGGCUGCUGCUGGCUCUCCUCGGAGGGCAUGUGCACGCUUGUUGUCCAUUAUUUCUCCCACUGUGCACAAAUUGUAGACCUUUCAGUAGGCCUAUGUUGUUUUUCACAAUCUCUGAAUGUAAUGGAAUGGUUUUGAAUCUUGGGAAAUACAAUGCAACUUUCAGCAACGGAUCUCUUGGCUCUC